rnacentral:rRNA from 1 species
AGUUUGAUCCUGGCUCAGAUUGAACGCUGGCGGCAGGCCUAACACAUGCAAGUCGAGCGGGGUUUUCGGACCCAGCGGCGGACGGGUGAGUAAUGCGUAGGAAGCUACCCGAUAGAGGGGGAUACCAGUUGGAAACGACUGUUAAUACCGCAUAAUGUCUACGGACCAAAGUGUGGGACCUUCGGGCCACAUGCUAUCGGAUGCGCCUACGUGGGAUUAGCUAGUUGGUGGGGUAAUGGCUCACCAAGGCGACGAUCCCUAGCUGGUUUGAGAGGAUGAUCAGCCACACUGGAACUGAGACACGGUCCAGACUCCUACGGGAGGCAGCAGUGGGGAAUAUUGGACAAUGGGCGCAAGCCUGAUCCAGCCAUGCCGCGUGUGUGAAGAAGGCCUUCGGGUUGUAAAGCACUUUCAGCGAGGAGGAAGGGAGUUGUGUUAAUAGCACAGCUUCUUGACGUUACUCGCAGAAGAAGCACCGGCUAACUCUGUGCCAGCAGCCGCGGUAAUACAGAGGGUGCAAGCGUUAAUCGGAAUUACUGGGCGUAAAGCGCACGUAGGCGGUUUUUUAAGUCAGAUGUGAAAGCCCCGGGCUCAACCUGGGAAUUGCAUUUGAAACUGGAAAACUAGAGUGUGUGAGAGGGGGGUAGAAUUCCAAGUGUAGCGGUGAAAUGCGUAG